rnacentral:rRNA from 1 species
AGUGAACGCUGGCGGUAGGCCUAACACAUGCAAGUCGAACGGCAGCACAGUAAGAGCUUGCUCUUACGGGUGGCGAGUGGCGGACGGGUGAGGAAUACAUCGGAAUCUACUUUUUCGUGGGGGAUAACGUAGGGAAACUUACGCUAAUACCGCAUACGACCUACGGGUGAAAGCAGGGGAUCUUCGGACCUUGCGCGAUUGAAUGAGCCGAUGUCGGAUUAGCUAGUUGGCGGGGUAAAGGCCCACCAAGGCGACGAUCCGUAGCUGGUCUGAGAGGAUGAUCAGCCACACUGGAACUGAGACACGGUACAGACUCCUACGGGAGGCAGCAGUGGGGAAUAUUGGACAAUGGGCGCAAGCCUGAUCCAGCCAUACCGCGUGAGUGAAGAAGGCCUUCGGGUGGUAAAGCCCUUUUGUUGGGAGAGAAAAGCAGCAGGUUAAUACCCCGCUGUUAUGACGGUACCCAAAGAAUAAGCACCGGCUAACUUCGUG